GGAUAUGAGGAUACGUUUUUGACACCCAGUCUUACUAUGAUACUAUCUGUUUUUAUAGGUGGUGAAAGAUCGACUAUCUGAUCC